GACGAACGCUGGCGGCGCGCCUAACACAUGCAAGUCGAGCGAUGAAAGUUGUUCAGAUCCUUCGGGUGACGAACUUCUGGAUUAGCGGCGAACGGGUGAGUAACGCGUGAGGAACCUGCCUCUCACAACGGGAUAGCCUCGGGAAACCGGGAUUAAUACCGUAUGACACUAUCAGAUGGCAUCAUCAGGUAGUUAAAGUG
rnacentral:rRNA from 1 species